rnacentral:rRNA from 1 species
AUUGAACGCUGGCGGCAGGCUUAACACAUGCAAGUCGAGCGAGCGGCGGACGGGUGAGUAAUGUCUGGGAAACUGCCUGAUGGAGGGGGAUAACUACUGGAAACGGUAGCUAAUACCGCAUACCAUCAGAUGUGCCCAUAUGGGAUUAGCUAGUAGGUGGGGUAAUGGCUCACCUAGCCGACGAUCCCUAGCUGGUUUGGGAGGAGGACCAGCUACACUGGAACUGAGACCCGGGCCAGACUCCUACGGGAGGCAGUAGUGGGGAAUAUUGCACAAUGGGCGCAAGCCUGAUGCAGCCAUGCCGCGUGUGUGAAGAAGGCCUUCGGGUUGUAAAGCACUUUAAGCGAGGAGGCGUUACUCGCAGAAGAAGCACCGGCGAACUCCGUGCCAGCAGCCGCGGUAAUUC